rnacentral:rRNA from 1 species
UGCGUAGGCGGAUAGAUAAGUCAGAGGUGAAAGCCUCCCGCUCAACGGGAGGACUGCCUUUGAUACUGUUUAUCUUGAAUGAGGUUGAGGUUAGCGGAAUGUGACAUGUAGCGGUGAAAUGCAUAGAUAUGUCAUAGAACACCAAUUGCGUAGGCAGCUAGCUAGGCCUUUAUUGACGCUGAGGCACGAAAGCAUGGGGAGCGAACAGGAUUAGAUACCCUGGUAGUCC